rnacentral:rRNA from 1 species
CCUACGGGUGGCUGCAGUAAGGAAUAUUGGUCAAUGGGCGAAAGCCUGAACCAGCCAUCCCGCGUGCAGGAUGAAGGUCCUAUGGAUUGUAAACUGCUUUUAUCAGGGAAGAAACGCCUUCAUUUAUGGGGGUCUGACGGUACCUGAGGAAUAAGCACCGGCUAACUCCGUGCCAGCAGCCGCGGUAAUACGGAGGGUGCGAGCGUUAUCCGGAAUCACUGGGUUUAAAGGGUGCGUAGGCGGGGAAUUAAGUCAGUGGUGAAAGCCUGUCGCUU